CCUACGGGAUGCAGCAGGCGCGAAAACUUUACAAUGCGGGAAACCGUGAUAAGGGAAUCUCGAGUGCCAGCAUAUAAUGUUGGCUGUCCAGAUGCCUAAAAAGCAUCUGUUAGCAAGGGCCGGGCAAGACCGGUGCCAGCCGCCGCGGUAACACCGGCGGCCCGAGUGGUAACCGCUAUUAUUGGGUCUAAAGGGUCUGUAGCCGGCCAGGUAAGUCCCUUGGGAAAUCUGGCAGCUCAACUGUCAGGCUGCUAGGGGAUACUGUUUGGCUUGGGACCGGGAGAGGUGAGAGGUACCUUGGGGGUAGGGGUGAAAUCUUGUGAUCCUCGGGGGACCACCAGUGGCGAAGGCGUCUCACCAGAACGGGUCCGACGGUAAGGGACGAAAGCUAGGGGCACGAACC
rnacentral:rRNA from 1 species